GAAAAUGGCUUUUUGGAGAGAUUCAGGUUAGUAUUGCACAUGACUGGUGUUAUGGUGUCACGACGCCUGCAGGUGUGCAGGUGCUGCCUCGGCGUUCAGAGGAUUUCCCUUCUCUGCUGUGCGUAAGUUUUCACUCUGUUUUCAGUGCAGUGGGACCAGGAAUGAACAGGAGAAUUCUACGCCACUCCUGUACACACAAUUUCUGUUCCAGGACUAAACAGGCCUCUUUCAGAAAGUACAUACAGUGACAACUGGAUAAAUGCAGGCUCCCACAUGGAUAAAAGGCAUCGUCUGCUGACAGCACUGAAUUUUUCCCUGGUGAAUUUUUGCUUCUACUUCUCAGAUGUGGGGGAUUCCCAUGAAGAAAUUUUCUUCUCUUGCAACUAUUGCCGGCUUCGCUGAGUAACAGUGUCUGUGCUUUUUUCCUUUUGUCAUUUUCCCAUUGGAUGGCAUCCCUUUGAACAAGAAAAAUCCAAAGAUGAAAGGGGGAGCCAGAGGAGAGGGCGAACGCCUGACUUUCCCUCAUCGUACAAUGUUUGCCUAGAGGGACGGCAUAUGGAAGAUAGUAUAAAGCAAAGGUUUUGAAGCAGGAGUGAAGGUCAUUGAUGCUGCUUUUGUGCUACUGAGGGCUAUGCACGGCUUGCAGUAAACGUACCGGGAAAGGUGGUUCACAACAUCCAGCAGGAUCUUGGCCCAGGCAGUUGAAACCAAAAGCAAAGCAAAGCAAAUUGGUGCAGUAAAGCUGCUGUCUACAUGUGUACGCACACGUGCAGACACUCCUUUGGAAUAGGACUCCGGUUUAUUGCUCCAAAAGUCUACGGACAUUGAAAGUGCGAUGGAAGCCAGGGAACACUUAACAUUAUCAUUCUGAUAACAUUUUGCAAUUAAAAUCCACACAUCUCAGGCUCCCACUUAGAGCUGCUAUAGAGAUAAGAACCAGGCAGCUCCAAGCAAUUAGUCCAGUGGUAAGCAAGGAAAACAUAUUUCCCUCCUGCUUUAUAAUAAUAAUAUGACUAUAAUUUGAAAGCUUUAAAAAAAAUGGCCAAAUAAGAAGAAGGAAAGUUAAGCAAAGUCCAUUUUUGUCAGCUGGGAUGAGGGCUGACGGUGGUGAUACACGUGCCACGUGGCCUGAAUCCCUACCUCCUCAGACUUUUUCAUCGGAGGCUAUUAUGGGACAGCCAGAUGCUCCAAAAAGCAGUAUGGUGGAUGCAGUAGGAAGCAUUUCUCCGCCUUAUUUGAGCUGAUACAAUAUCCAAGCAAACAGUGCGGGGAAUAAUUUUUGGCACAUAAAGCCAAAGUCCAAAUUAAGGCGUUUAAAAUCCUACCCAUGUCCCACAGAUAUAGAAAUGGAGUUAACUAGGGUGUCCCGGCCGGAGUCUAAUGGUCCCAGACUUCUGGCUGGCUACACUAGUCUCUGCUUUUAUUUUUAGACUGCAGCUUAUUUUUGGCAUCUCUUAAAGUGAUGUAUUGCGUCCCUGGAAAGAUCUGCAUUUCUCUGUGUGAACCGUGGGCUGUUUAUAUAUCAAUUCAUUGCAUUUCUGGGGAUCCUUAGGGAUGAGAUGUACCGUAUCCAUUUAAACUGCUUUUAUUGUUAUGCCUUAAGGGUAAAUACAGGGCAAGUCAUUUGAAAGUGCCUACCACUUGGAAGACAAGUUUUCCCUGGUGUUAUUCCCAUUUCUCAGGUGGAAGUUUUGUUAAAGCGCGUUGCUUGCGAAGCUGGAAGCUGAUGCUCGCUGCCUGAUGCAGCAGAGCUUGCUGCCACGUGUGUUUCAUUUAGGAAAGAGGAGACUCGGGCUGGGGGAAGAGAAGAGCGGCAGAGCCAGGCUUCUUGAGCUUGCUGGACAACUUUCCCUUCAGCAAUACGAGUAACGUUGCUCCCCACCGGUCCAGCCCCCUCUGUGGUUGCAGACAAAGUGGAAGCACCUGACAGGGAAAAUAUGAACUGGGAGCGCGCUAAUGAUUAAAAAGGGACUUUCCCCCUGCAAGCAACUGUGACAUUUGGUAAUGUUACCGUCUCUAGUUCUUCCCAGCAAGGAGGAGCCUUGCAAAUGUGGAGAGAGCGGCAUGGCGGGACCGUGCAGAAAACCGACCCGGUGAGAAUUCGGGAGGGAGAGCUCUGCCUGGCAGAGGCCGAGCGCGGGCAGCCAGCGGGGCCGUGCCGAGGAGGGAGGUGCUUUCCUUUCUGUUCGCAUUAUGCAUCCAGAGGCUCGAAGCUGGAUCUGGACACAAAUUUCCCAGUGGUACUGGGUGAUAUUUUGAGCAAACCAAAGACCUGAACUGAGUUAACGCUGAGUUGUCCGAGCGGGAGGCUGUGCAGGGGCAGUGAGAGCACACCGUUUGCUCUGAGCCUCCUCGCACUCCUGUGCAACCCUUCUCCCUACAGCUGGUGGGUGCGAGUCAUCGUGGACAGACACAAAAAGCCAGUACGCUGCUUCUCUGUGAGCAGUGGGAGCUCGCCGCAGCAGACAGACACACGGCGAGCCUUAAUUAGAAGCUGAACUGCGUGGGGGCCCAGGGAUUUCCCUGGGGACGGAUGUGGCAAACGCAGGGGCUAAUGCAGCGAGUGCUGUAGCUGUGUGUCUGAGCUAGCAGGGGAGCUGCCAGGGGAGGAAGCAGGAAAUACUAGACAAUACCAAGAGCAUAACCCUGAGAGAAAAAAAAAAAAAGAAGAAAAAAAGCCAACGGAAGAUGAACUUCUGGCUGGAUGCUUCCUGAAAAAGCCCUGGGACUGCCAGGCGAGGGUCUGUCUGGAGGUCGGUUCCUCCUGUGCGCACCCUCUUUGGAGGAGGGCAGGCUCUCUGCUCCCUGCUCCUUCUCCCGGUCAAAGUCCUUUGGAGCCCCAAAGCCCAGCAGACCACAGGGCUCUGGGAGGGGUAACCCCGAUCGAUCACCAACAAAUUGCCUGUGGCUGACGAUGGGUGUCAGCAGCAGCUGCUGCCGAGAAGGUGCUAAGGGGGGGCUCAGCUUUAAGUGCAGAACACUCCAGGGCUCUGCUCCCCAAGUUCCUAAGGCUUUAACCUCAUUGUUUUCUGGAGUGGUUGAGGGCUGUGCUCGGAGCUGGAGCGUUGGCAGUGCCAGCAGGGAGCGCACGCAGCAUUGCCAAGGACUGGAUGUGCUUCUGGUGCCAUGUCCUGGUCCAGCCCGUCCAUCCUCUACCCAUACCGAUGGCUGUUGACGAGAGCGGGGCUGCAGUGCCUGGGGUAGUGCAGUUGUUCUUUGGAGGAGAGCAAGCUGGGAGAAGAGCUCCAAGGGACAGCAAAGAUUUAGGCUGCAUUGACAGGACUGCUAGGUGAGCUCUGGUUUACAGGCUGAGAGAGGCUAAAUGCAGGCUCAGGGGGGUUAAAUGCAGAUUCUUCCAAACUCCAAACACCCCGUGCUCCGCAUGCUCCGGGUAUUCCUGCACUGCCAGGAUGCAGGCUCUCCAGACCGGGUUAUAAUAGAAUCCUCAUUUCCUCCCAGAGCUCUUGCUCUCUCAUAUUCCUGUUUAUUUUUGUGCAGCCAACUGCUUACUCCGAGCACGACCGCUCCUGGGGCAGGUGAUGGCUGGCAGCCAGUUUGGGGCCACCAGCACUUACGGGCGCCAGGGGACAAGCAGU